rnacentral:lncRNA from 1 species
UAAAGGGGUAGGCAACAUGAUGCCGGCCAGGUAGAGAACAUAUCUGCAUAAUAAAAGUUUAGGGUGGGGUGGCCAGCUUCUUGAGGGGCUAUGCAAAUGGCACACCUGGUCCGACCAAUCUUUUAUGCCCUAUGUAAAUCAAACACCGCCUCCUAAAGCUCGUCCAUAAAACCUUCUGCAUUUCGCUGCAGAAGCAGCAACUCAUUUUCUCUGGGACCCCUCUCUGCACGGAGAGCUCUUCUCUUUCUUUCGCCUAUUAAACUUACAUGGCCGUGGGACAAUGAACCUCAGGUAUUACCCCAGAGAAACAACAUCGCUUCAUUGAGGGGAAUGCAAAAAUGUAGUAAAGGAAAUUGAGAAUGAGAAGCCAAUAAAGUAGGUAAGAAACAAGGUAGAGUGACAUCAUGGAAGCCAAACAAAGCAAGUGUUUCCAGGAUGAAGGCGUGAUCAACUGGGUCAAAUGUAUGGUGACAGAUCAAAUAAGAUGAGGACUAAUCAUUAAUCAUGGAUUUUAGCAACACUGAGUCCCUGUGGACCUUUACAGGAGAAGUUCUGGUGGAGGGCUGAGAGCAAAAGCCUGGUUGAAGUGAGUUUGAAAAGAUGUGAAAUGGUAAGAAUUAAAUACAAUGAAUAUUUUCCUGGACUUUUGAUAUACAGGGCUUUUUUAGGAUGCAAGAAAUAACAAAAUGUUUGAUUUAUGAUGAGCAUGACUCUAAUUGAAAGAAAAAAUUGAUAAUAUAGUAGCCAAAGAAAUAAUUGCUGAGUAAUGCUCUUGCAGCACAGGUUAGAGGGGGUAGACUUUAGACAGGAGUGUAACUAAUUCCCCUCCAUUGUCAAGAGGGUAAAGUAUUUGGGUACAAAAGUCAACAGGUUGGUGAGUGGCCUGGUGAAGAUGUAGUGGUUGUACUUUAGGUCCUACCUUUAAUUAGUUUCUUAUUAAUGAAUUAAUAAUCAAUUAAUAUUGUGUUUAUUUGUAAAUUUCUCCAGGCCAAAAACUGCAUUAUGUAUUUUUUGACACUUAUUUAGCCAAGCAACAAAUAAUUGUUUAUGAAACUCUGAAUAAAUAACAUGACAAAGGGGUACUGUACCACCGAACUUCAGGCCAGAAGGGUUCCUGUAAAAUCUUAAGAAUGGUAUUCACUAAAGAAAUUUUUAAUAAAGUAGAACUUACCAGUAUUAAAGAAUUACUUGUUAAAGUAAUUGAUAAAACUAAAUUGUUAUGGAAUUGAUAAAACUAAAGUUACCUUUUGUUUCAAGUUCCACUCUUUCUGGUUUAAAUGUUUUUAAAAAUUUUAUGGUGAAAUGUGUUUUACAUGAAGAAAUGAAUUGAACAUAUAUGUGCAGUAAAGUAAGCCACAUCAUCUAAUUAAAGAAAUAAAAUAUUACCUGCACUCGAAGAAAAAAAAAAUCACCCAUACCUCUUCUGUGAUAGCUUCACCUGUUUGAGGUGAUUUCUAUAUUGACUUUGAUGAUAAUCAGCCUCUUUGAGGUAACUGCUAUCCUGACUUUGAUGAGAAUCAUUUUCUUUUUUUCCUCUAUUGUUUUAUCUAUUUACCUUUCAGAAAUUGAGUUCAAUUUUAUCUGUCUUUAGACUUUAUACAAAUGGAGUCCUAUUCUGCACAUCCUUUUGUAUCUUUAUUUUGUUCAGUGUGUGUGUGUAUGUGUGUGUAUGUGUGGGUGUGUAUCCUAAAAAGUUUGAUGUUUGGAUAAUCUGGGUGAAGGCUAUUUAGAAAAGUACUAAUAUUGCAACAUUUCUGAAAGUCUAGAAUCAAUAACUAAAAAUAAAAAUGAAAUAAAAUAAUUUUUAAUUAAGAUAAAUUAAAAUACAAAAUGUUUUAAAAUGUGUACUUUUUAACCUAACUAUGCAGUACCACCACUGUCAUACAAUGAGUAUAUACAAUAUGGUCUAUUUCUGAGUUAUCACAAAUUUUUGCAUUUAUCUACAUACCUAUCUGCACACAUUCUGCAUUGUCUUAAUCACUAUAGCUUCAAAAUAAGGCUUAAUAACAGGAACAGAAAGUUAACUUGAUUCUUAUUAGAGUUUUUGUCUAUUUAUAAUUUGUUGCACUUUUAUGUGAAUUCUAGAAUCUACUUGUCAAGGCCUACCAAUGGGAAAAUCAUUACGAUUUUUAUUGGGAUGGAAUUAAACCUAGAGAUCAGAUUGAGGAGUUGAAAUCUUUACAAUAUUAAGGUUUCACUCCAUGAACAUUGUCUGUCAUCCCAUUUAUUUAUUUAUUUAUUUAAAUUUCUCAGUAGUUCUAUAUUUUUUUCUUAGAGAUAUUUUACACUUUUGUUAGAUUUGUUCCUUAGUACUUCCAACUUUUGAUGCAAUUGUAAAUAAUGUGUAUUUUAUCUCUGUUUAAUUUGGUUUUAAUGUAUCUUAAAUCUAUGUCAUUUAAGCCAUAAUCAUUUAAACUGGUUACGGUGUUUCUUUCCUGGCAAAGUGAAGCUUG